GACAAAAUGGCGGCGGGCGGAGAGCGCGGGAAGGGCCCGCGGCGCCCUGAGGGCCGCUCGUUCCCUUCCCGUCCCCCUCACCGUCCCAUUUUGAAGUGUUUUUUUCCCCUCACAGCGUGAAGAUUUUGGGGUCAACGCUGCUCUUUCCUCCCCCUCCACACGCGCCCUCCCAGGUCACCAUGACUUCAAUGUGCACAGUCCAAGCAGUCACUUGUGAGCAAGGAGAGCAGGUAUUGGCACCUCCUCAUUAGCCUUCAUCAAUGAGAAUAUUGGCUAUGGUGUUGCGUGAGUGCCACUGGCUGACCAAUGGAGGGGCCCUACCCUGCUAAGCUGGAGCAACACUUUCUGAGUGGUGAUUUCAUUGCCUGGUUGCUGCAGUGAUUUGGAGCACAGCUGUGACGUUAUGCUUUUUCUGGCAAAAAUUUAGCUGAGGGGUAAGUAUGAGAUGUCCAGGCCAGAUUUCAUAGUGUGAUGGAGAGCUGGGAGAAGCUGGUGCGUGGUGUAUGUGAAAACUGCCAAUUGCUUGUGUUCCUAAAAAGGCUCAUCUGUGUUUGAAUUAAACCAGCCUGGAUAGGACGUUCAUUUUAUCCUCUUGUUAGGGAUGUAUUUGGAGAUAUGCCUGGUGCUGAUUGGUGGCCUCUGCUGGCCUGCAGGUACAGGGGACCAACAAACUGUUUGGGAUGCCUUCAUGUUUUUCAGGCCACUGUACCCUGUGGGAAUUGUACUACUUUUCUGUGGCAGUUUGGGAUAACUGAGGGCUUCCUUGGGAGUGUUGGACUUCUACCGCCACACGCUUUGGAUUGAAGAGUUACCAGAACGACAUCUGUGAGGUUUCCAAGCUAAACAAAACCUGAAUUUCUGGUGCAAAAAGCAAGUGAGUGAUAGAAACCUCUGCUCCUCUUCCAGCGGGGGGACACUGCAGCCUUUUAAGCUUUCCUAUUAUGCCAAAGAGGUAAAAAAGCAUAAGCAUGCAUUGUGUUAUGCAGUGCUAUUGGUGAUAUAAAAUGAAAGCCAAAGCUAGCCAAGAAACUGUUCUCCUUUCAAAUACAUCUCCACGCACAAGUACUUUUCUUCUUUGCCUUUCCCUGAAGUGAGAGAGCAAUAAGGGCACAAGCGUGCGCUCAGUCUGCUUCAUUUAGAACACAGUGAAGUGACUUCGGUGCCAACAUGAUGAAUCAAAAGCAUUGAAGAUAGCUGGCUUGCUAUUUAUUUUGCUCUGGGCAUGACAAUCAGAUGUGAUUGGGGAUGUGAAGAAGAGCAGCCUUCAACUCACAGAGUUGCACUGUUUUAAACCCUUGUCCUGUGACUUCUCCAGCGUGAUUUCUGUCAUUCCUGCUGGGCAUUGCACGUGGGCCUUUUCAUGGAGAGGUAACGCCCUGCAGCUGUGUGUUAAACAUGGCAACAUACAGGAUACAGUGAUCUCUCCACUCCCAGGAGCCUGGAAGACUGAAGCCCUCUGCCUAGAGGAUGAAAUGCUUCAUGUUUGGAAAAAAAACUAGCAGGCUUUGUCUGUGACAGCUCCUUUCCUGUGGAUGUCCUUCCAGCCAGGCUGCCCGCAGUGUGACAGCAGUGACCCUGUGUGAGGUUUCUUUGAAGGACCUGGGAGACUGCGUGGCUUUUUCUUGUCCCUCGGAGGUGCUUCCCUGGCAGGGAGGGAGGAAAAUGAUUGGCAGUGCUGUCACAGGAGGCAUGCUUACCUGGCUAGGGGAAAGCUUGGUGUGGAAAAGCCAGCUGGUGCAUGGUUUGGGGAAGGAGAGGUUCCUUUCUCUCCAGAAUGGAAUCCCUUAAGGAAGGUAUAGACAAGCAGUUCCUGCUCUUGGGGCUUCUGGCUGGUUAAAACAAAGAGCUGAGCCCAUUUCCAUGGAGAAAUGUAUAAUAGAGCACGUUGCAGUGCUUUUCCUUGCGUGUGCGUGGCUUGGUCACACGUUUAACUAAUAGAUGGUUUGCAUGCAAGAGGUUAUUGCUUUUUUAUACUUUCAAUCAGUCCAUCUCCAUUGGGCAGAGCAGCUUCACAGCCACCAGCACGGGGGAAACUGAGGCACGGGGCUACAGUGGGAUUACAGGCAGAGCCGGGGAUAAGGCUCAGGUUUGCCGAGGCUCAGACCGACGUGCGUCAGAGGGCUGAUUAAAUGGAGAGAUUUGCAAAGGGAAGUGACCUAUAGCUCCAUGGCCGGGACGGUGUUGCUGGACUCGAUCCUUGUGGGCACCUUCCAACUCAAAGGGCAGUUUGGUCAGGGGAAGGGCUGGGUAAGCACGGCGAGCGCGGCCGACAGGGAGCGAGAUGUGGUGAGCUCCUUCCAUUGCCUUAGCCUGGAGCACAGCCAACCCGCGGGGCUCAUCCAGCACUGAACUUUGGAGUCGUUGCAGAUAAACAGCGCUAUAGGCUAAUAAAAGGCUCUGCCACGCAGGGCCCGGUCUGCCCGCACCGCAAUGACUUUGUUACGUGCUGACUGCAGUGAGGGACGGCGCUGGGUUUGCCUUCUCCUGGCCUUGGAUGGAGAGGAGCGGGCAGAACCUCGAGGCCUUUUGCCCCGCACCCGUUUCUGCACGGCAGCCCUUUACAUUUCACAGCGUGCUCCAUUUUUUUUCCUACUCCUAUUCCUUUUGUAGCAUAGCCCCCCUUUUUUGCAACAGUCCCCCUUUCUUCCUUCGUACCGUAUGUUUUAUUUGCUUAUUUCUUUAUGUGCAAUCCCUUAAUCCAUCACCUUGCAUUGCAGCCCCGCUUUUCGGCAUGCAUCCCUUGCUUUCCACAACCCACCUCGUGCAUUUAUUACUUUCCAUCGCAGCUCCCGUUUCUGGCUCGCACCUCCUCUUUUUUUUUUUUUUUUUUUUUUUGCCGUGCUUCCUUUAUCUAUGACUUCCCAUCCCAGCCCUGUUUGUAUCUGCCAUACAGUCCCUCCGUCACGUCGCGUUACACCGCGCUCUGCCCGCUCCGCUCCCGCAGCCCUCCACCG
rnacentral:lncRNA from 1 species